AACGAACGCUGGCGGCAUGCCUAACACAUGCAAGUCGAACGGGAUCCUAGCUUGCUAGGUGAGAGUGGCGGACGGGUGAGUAACACGUGGGAAUCUGCCUUUUGGUUCGGGAUAACCGCGGGAAACUGCGGCUAAUACCGAAUGCCCUCGAGAGAGGAAAGAUUUAUCGCCAGAAGAGGAGCCCGCGUCCGAUUAGGUAGUUGGUGGGGUAAAGGCCUACCAAGCCGACGAUCGGGUAGCUGGUCUGAGAGGAUGAUCAGCCACACUGGGACUGAGAUACGGCCCAGACUCCUACGGGAGGCAGCAGUGGGGAAUAUUGGACAAUGGGGGCAACCCUGAUCCAGCAAUGCCGCGUGAGUGAUGAAGGCCUUAGGGUUGUAAAGGUCUCUUUUGUCCAGGGAAGAUGAUGACUGUACCUGGAGAA
rnacentral:rRNA from 1 species